GUCAUAUGCUUGUCUCAAAGAUUAAGCCAUGCAUGUCUCAGUACAAGCCAAAUUAAGGUGAAACCGCGAAAGGCUCAUUAAAUCAGUUAUGGUUCCUUAGAUCGUACUCACAAUUACUUGGAUAACUGUGGUAAUUCUAGAGCUAAUACAUGCAAACAGAGCUCCGACCGGAGACGGGAGGAGUGCUUUUAUUAGAUCAAAACCAAUCGGUGGCGGGUUCGCUCGUCAUCGUACAACUUGGUGACUCUGAAUAACUUUACGCUGAUCGCACGGUCAUCGCACCGGCGACGCAUCUUUCAAAUGUCUGCCUUAUCAACUGUCGAUGGUAGGUUCUGCGCCUACCAUGGUUGUAACGGGUAACGGGGAAUCAGGGUUCGAUUCCGGAGAGGGAGCCUGAGAAACGGCUACCACAUCCAAGGAAGGCAGCAGGCGCGCAAAUUACCCACUCCCGGCACGGGGAGGUAGUGACGAAAAAUAACGAUACGGGACUCAUCCGAGGCCCCGUAAUCGGAAUGAGUACACUCUAAACCCUUUAACGAGGAUCAAUUGGAGGGCAAGUCUGGUGCCAGCAGCCGCGG
rnacentral:rRNA from 2 species